rnacentral:rRNA from 1 species
UACGGAGGGAGCUAGCGCUGUUCGGAAUUACUGGGCGUAAAGCGCGCGUAGGCGGCUUUGUAAGUUAGAGGUGAAAGCCCGGGGCUCAACCCCGGAACUGCCUUUAAAAACUGCAUCGCUUGAAUCCAGGAGAGGUGAGUGGAAUUCCGAGUGUAGAGGUGAAAUUCGUAGAUAUUCGGAAGAACACCAGUGGCGAAGGCGGCUCACUGGACUGGUAUUGACGCUGAGGUGCGAAAGCGUGGGGAGCAAACAGG